CUUCCGUAGGUGAACCUGCGGAAGGAUCAUUACCGAAUGCGGAGCCUUCGCGGCCAACCUCCACCCUUGUCUCUAUACACCUGUUGCUUUGGCGGGCCCACCGGGGCCACCUGGUCGCCGGGGGACGCACGUCUCCGGGCCCGCGCCCGCCGAAGCGCUCUGUGAACCCUGAUGAAGAUGGGCUGUCUGAGUACUGUGAAAAUUGUCAAAACUUUCAACAAUGGAUCUCUUGGUUCCGGCAUCGAUGAAGAACGCAGCGAAAUGCGAUAAGUAAUGUGAAUUGCAGAAUUCCGUGAAUCAUCGAAUCUUUGAACGCACAUUGCGCCCCCUGGCAUUCCGGGGGGCAUGCCUGUCCGAGCGUCAUUUCUGCCCUCAAGCACGGCUUGUGUGUUGGGUGUGGUCCCCCCGGGGACCUGCCCGAAAGGCAGCGGCGACGUCCGUCUGGUCCUCGAGCGUAUGGGGCUCUGUCACUCGCUCGGGAAGGACCUGCGGGGGUUGGUCACCACCAUGUUUUACCACGGUUGACCUCGGAUCAGGUAGGAGUUACCCGCUGAACUUAAGCAUAUCAAUAAGCGGAGGAA
rnacentral:rRNA from 1 species